GCUCCUCAGCUGGGCAGCAGGUUCCGCACCAGGGUGGAAACCCGGGAUUUCCCGAGAACGUUGGUGCCCAGCCCAGGAAGAUCCCCUGGUGGGCAGGUGUGGGUGGAAGCGCCUCUCCUGGCUCCAGCAGCAGGUGUUCUCUUUGGCUCUUGGGGGAAUUAGAAUCAUCCUCUGCCCCGGGAAUAGCUGGCAGCUCGCAGGACGAGGGUCCGGUCCCUUGAGAAGGAGGCCUUUUCUAUUUGGGGGGACUUUUCCCCUCCGUGUUGGGUGGCACAGGAGAGAUCUGGCAUUUGUUGAUUAGAAUUCAGGCUCUGGGCUUAGCGGAGCCCCCCUCCCCAGCCCCUUCCAGAAAGGUCCGGGCCCAACUCUCUCUCUCUGAAGCUCUUUUUAGGGCAGUUCAAUGUGAAAGUGCUCCUCGGCAUACAGUGAGCCAGGGGACCCCGAGGAGCUGGCCUCAGGGGCGGAGUUGGCAGGAGAUGGACCACUGACCACUGACCAUGACCGGGAGCCUCAACGGUCCCCUCCGCAGGGAGGAGAGAAGCGGGAGGAGCUCCGAGGGCCCGCAGGUGACUCAGAAAGGUGAGCUGCUCACCUGCGGAGCUUGGCAUGUGCCCAGAGCGUUAUGGAUCAGGGAAGGCUUUCCCUGGGGACACGGGGACGUCAGUGCCAGGACUCGGGUGUCCCCCCGAGAUGCCACAGUAGAAGGGAGCUCUUCUCUGCGGGUUUCCCCCCCCCCCACCCUGGAUUUUUUUCUUAGACCCAAAGAUGAUGUCACCAUGACUCACAGCAAGAGGUAUUCCCGGAUCCCGGAUUUGUUUUAUGAACUGUUAUAUAUUAAACGUGGCCCCUUGGCUGAGAGCUGUCAAAACAGCUUCAAGUAACCUUCCCCGGGAGAGAGAUCUUUGUGAAGCCACAUAACUCAGAUUGUACAAAUACCUGUCAGAAGCCAUUAGAAUCAGCAGCAGGGCGGGUGGGGGCGGGGAGGACAGCGGGGCGCUGAGUCCUGCUCAGAAGGGGAGCAGGAGACCUGGCGUCGGCUCCAGAUAGAGGACAAGGUCUGGAAUCUACGAUGACCAGCUCACCCACCUGAGCCCCCAGGAGGGACAGCGCCAAGCCCGGGGACAAGACAGGCUCUGGGACCCCGACCGCCCUGUCUGGAACUCUGGGGCCAUCGUUCACCCCUGUGACCUUGGCGCCUACCCACGCCCUGCCACCCCUGCGGGGCCUGGCUUCCUCGUUCCUGAGCCCCCCACCCUGAGCAGCACCCAGCCCUGAGAUGAUGUGAACCCUGUCGGGGGUUGGCGGGGGCAGCCCGGCCCUGGGGCGCCUCGGGGCGGCUCCUGUCCCCCACACUUGCACCCCAGCACGGGAGGAGUGGGCUCUCCUGGUGCCACCUUCUCCCCUCCAGGCCCCGGCAGCUCAGGUCUCCAGGCCGCCCUGAGCCUGGGGACAGGCCAGCAGAGACUUCUGGUGGGGGAGGGGCGGGCGCUCCCAGCCCUGCUGCUCGCAGGAGCAGGGACAAGGCCCAGACCCUGGAGAGGAGAGCCCGUCCCCCAGCGGGGCAGGCCCAGGUCCCCGUGUGGCUGCUCAGCCACUUCCCCAGACCCGCAGCUGACUCAGGAGUGGUGACCUCUGCCCCCAGGAGGGAGGGGAGCAGCUUCCUGCCCCACAGCCCUGCCGGGGCUCAAACACGAACAGCCUGGGGUCGGGCUCUGCCCACUGACCAGCCGUGAUGGCCCUCUGCCCGCAGGUGUCCUCCCAGGUGCUCAGCAUCAACUCGGCUUCUCCUAGGAGCCAGGGCUCCGCCUGACCUUUGAACCCGAGCAAGGGCCCCCCACCUCUGGGGGUGCCUCUCUAGAGAGCCAGAGGUGGGGCCAGCUCCACUCAGGGGCCAGAGCGGUCUACCCAAAAGCCAGCGGCAUCCUGUCCGACCCUCACUCAACACCCUUCAGUGGCUCCCCACUGCCCCCGAGUCCCCACAAGCUACAGACUGAGGCUUCCAAGCCCAGAGGCUCCAUGAGGUGUGAGUCUGGACACCUCUGGCCGCCCUGUCCCCCUGUGUCCACCUCCUCCCCUGAAGCCUGGUCCUGGGGCACCUGCAGCCGUCCCCAUGUCAGCCGCGUGCCUACGGCGGCUUGCUGAGCUCCUGUGCCUUCACCCGGCAGGUCCCUAAGCACACAGGGGAAGGAAGUGACUUCAGCCAGAGUGCAGCUCCAGGCUGGCCCAGGUCACCUGUAGCUCCGUGACUGCAGGCAGCUUUUGUUACAUAGUGUCUUCGUGGAAGAGCUGAAAGUCUUUAUGAAAACACCAGAAACUGCAGACGAGCAGGGAAAGGGAAGACCACCCGCAACCCACCAGCCAGAAAGAACCGGGUGAGCGGGUUGGUGUGGACGGUUCGGGUCCUCUUCGUUGCAUUGAGUCGUUCGUGAGUGUAAAUGUAAACAUGCACGUCGGCGGGCACGUCGGGGGCACGUCAUGCACACCUUCAUGUGUAUUUCCGCGGCUUCCUUCAGGUGUGAUCGCCACUAGCAAGUCUGCCCAGGAGAGCCGAGACUGACUUCCUCCCUCCCUUCACCUCCCUGUGCCUCUUGAAUUAAGUUCUCCUUUGUCUUUGGGAAAAGCAAAGCCAGAAAGACUCCCUCUCAUCUCCUUCCUCACUCCCUGGACAAAGGAGCCCAAAGGACGCAGGUGUGGGGAGAGAAGGGAAGGAAAGGGCAAAUACCCCGGAAUAUUACCCAAUGCAAUAAAGUGACAGAUAACAUGCUCUCAUUCCCUCCCAAGCACCUGGGCCUUACCUACUGUAAUCACACGCGUCUAACGGUCAGGGAAAAUUGUGGUUCAAACAGGCAAGGUCUCCAGCCCAAGGUCACACAGCCCGUACCAGGUAGAUCCUGCCCGUGGUUUCCUCCUGUCUUCGUGAGUACAUAUAGAGGUACUUAUGGUCCACCUCAAGUAAUUUGCUGGCUUCCAAAUAACAUGAAAUGUGAGAAAGAAGGAAGAAUAAUUUUUAGAGCCCAAAAUAGGUUGUUGGGUAUUUAAAAUAGUUAACAUACGUGUUUUAAUAUGACCUCCACGAAGAGAAUUUACUAUGAAAAA
rnacentral:lncRNA from 1 species